rnacentral:rRNA from 1 species
UUUUCGCAAUGCCCGAAAGGGUGACGAAGCGACGCCGCGUGGGUGAGGAAGGCCUUCGGGUUGUAAAGCCCUGUCAGGAGUUAAGAAAUGUAAGUGCGCUAAUAUCGCAUUUAUUUGAUGAAGGCUCCAAAGGAAGUCACGGCUAACUCUGUGCCAGCAGCCGCGGUAAUACAGAGGUGGCAAGCGUUGUUCGGAAUUAUUGGGCGUAAAGAGCACGUAGGUGGGUUUGUAAGUCAGAUGUGAAAGCCUUCUGUUCAACGGAAGAAUUGCAUCUGAAACUGCGAGUCUUGAGUGUAGGAGGGGAGAAUGGAACUUCUGGUGGAGCGGUGAAAUGCGUAGAUAUCAGAAGGAACGCCGGCGGCGAAAGCGAUUCUCUGGCCUAUUACUGACACUCAGUGUGCGAAAGCUAGGGGAGCAAACGGGAUUAGAUACCCCGGUAGUCCUAGCCGUAAACGAUGGGCACUAAGUAGAGGGUUUUAA